ACCAGGAGGACCAGAAGUGGAGGGGGGUGGGCAGUGGCUGGCCUGGGCCAGAUCCUGGGCUAGGUUUUUACCUGGGCUAGGGAGCAGUGAUGGGGAGCCCUAUUUUGCAGAGGAAGAAACUGAGGCUCAGAGAGGUGAGGUAACUUCAUCUCACAUCUAUCUACCUGCCCAUCAUCUCUCCAUCCAUCUAUCCACCUACCCAACCACCCACCCCCCUGUCCAUUCACCCAUCCAUCCACCCAUCCAUCCACCCAUUCAUCCACCCAUCCAUCCAUCCAUCCACCCACCCACCCUUCUACCUAUUCACCCAUCCGCCCACCCACCUGUUUAUCCAUCUACCCACCCAUUUAACCAUCCUUCUAUCUAUCCAUCCAUUCAUCUACUCUUCUACCUAUCUACCUGUCCACCCACUCACCUGUCUACCCACCCAUCAACCCGUCCAUCCAUCCACACUUCUACCUGUCUAUCCAUGCGCCCACCCAUCCAUUCAUCCAUCCACCCUUCUCCCUAUCCACCCAUCCGCCCACCCAUCUAUUAAUCCAUCCACCCAUCCACCUAUCUGUCCAUGUAGCAGUAUUUAUAAACUGCUGUACUUACCAUGUGUCAUAUACUGAACCAGGUCUUAGGAAUUCAGCGGUGAGCAGCACAGUUAUGGCCUCUAGUCCCACAGAACAUACAGCCUAAGAUAGAAGACAGACCAAGUAACUAAAUGGGAGCUUUAUGGAUGGCACAAUAGGGGAAGGACAGGGUUUUUUCUGGGGAAGGUUCUGAAGGAAGUGACAUUUAGGCUGAGGGCUAGCUGGGAGUUAGCCCAAUAAACCAGGAGCAGAAAGUGUAUUCCAGGCCAAAGGACAGCAGGUGCAAAGGCCCAGUGGUUUGAAAGAACCAAAAGAGCACAGGAUGGCACAGGAUGGCAGCAGGGAGCCAGAAGGCAGGAAUGUGGGUGGAGCCAGACCACGCAGGAGCGUGUGAGCUGUGGCAAGAAGUUUGAAUUUGUCCUCAGAGCAAGUGGAAGAUAGCAAAGGACUUUAAGCACGUGAGUGGGAGAUCAGUAUGUGUUGGCUACAUGACCUCAGCAGGUUAUGUAACUUCUCUGUAUCUCAGCUACUUCAUUUGUAAAGUGGAACGAAUUAUUGCCACCUUUUCAGGAUGCUGCAAAGAUUAAGUGAGGAAAUGCAUGAACAUCACGUGGUUUCUCGUUGGCAUGACGCAACCUUAGUUCCCUUUGCUGUUCUAAUUUGAACGUGCAUAUUUUGGGGGAUUCUAGCCAGGGUGGCAUUGAGGACUCACACCAUGGUCCACUUGUUGUUUGGCUGACCCCUGCAAGUGCCCAGCGAGAGGCUCAACAAACAACAAACACUGCAUCCCUUAGAGAAAGAGCAGGGUGAGCGCAGGAAUCCUAAACGUCCCAACCUGGCCACUCAGGCACGCCCCGUCGGAGCCUCCUGGGUUCCCAAGUCUCUGACCUGAGGACAGAAGUCGCAGAUCUGCCAAACCACGCAGAAGAAAGCCAGCGAAAAACGUUUAGAGGUGUCAUCAGGCGCCAGGUCUUAUUGGUGCGUGACCGCCAGGCCCCACCCAUGCACAGAGGUCACUAGCGUUCAGUGAGCGCCUCCUUCACACCUACCCUGAGUCUGGCAUUUUACCAGCACAGUAGGAACUUGGUAUGGUUACCUCCUAGAAACCUCACUUCCACCCUCCAAGGUGAGGCUGUUCGGACCCUGAACUGUUGGAAGAGGAACCCUGGCAGGAGAGUAGCAGAUGCAGAAUUCAAACCCAGGUCUCCUGAUCCAAUGCCCAGGGUUUCCUUUCAUUUGUUUUCAUUUUACCAUGCUACAGGAGGGAGCAAGAACAAGAGCCCAGGUAAAGGAAUUUGCAAGUCUGGCAGGCAUGGAAAGCAAAGUCUUUUCUUCAUUUUGCCCCCGUUUGUUUAGUUUGCCCCAGGUUAAAGGUCAAGUUCGUUUGUGGAUGAGGAAAGUCUUCACUGAUCUCCAGCAGUCUAGUGUGGUGGGGCACCCAGGGAAAGGACUAGGUAAAAGAAAUAUAAUCAAGCUACAGAAAGUUUCAGAAGGAAAAAAUAUCAUGUAUUCUUACCUCCUCGAGAGCCAGGAAAAGAAGCCUUACCAUCACAAGGUUGCUUUUUCUAUGUGAUAGGAAUAACCAGACUUUCUUUGGCCCACCCCUUUAUUAGUCUUGAUUAUGUACAAUAAAGAUAAAAACUUUGUAGCCAACGACCAA